UACAGAGGUCUCAAGCGUUGUUCGGAUUCAUUGGGCGUAAAGGGUGUGUAGGUGGCGCCGUAAGUCGGGUGUGAAAUUUCGGAGCUUAACUCCGAAACUGCAUUCGAUACUGGCGUGCUUGAGGACUGGAGAGGAGACUGGAAUUCAUGGUGAGCAGUGAAAUGCGUAGAGAUCAUGAGGAAGACCAGUGGCGAAGGCGGGUCGCUGGACAGUUCCUGACACUGAGACACGAAGGCCAGGGGAGCAAACGGG
rnacentral:rRNA from 1 species